rnacentral:lncRNA from 10 species
UGACAGCCACGGCUGCCAUUAUUUCUUAGCUGUCAGUCACCAGAUUAGGCAUUUUCCAUGCGUUUUAUUUCCUUUAUUAUUCACAACAAUGGUUGCUAAGUCUCAAUUAUUUGACCUUGAAUAAGAUACUUAAUUUCUCUGUGCUCCAGUUUCCUCAUUUUUAAAACAGGGAUAAAAUUCCAGCCUCCCAGAGUGGUUGGGAAGAUUGGGUAUAAUCGAAUGAGCAUCUACGCUAGGCAAUUAAUAUACAGUUAUUCAGUUUCAGGGGCAAAAUUUAUAUUAUAUGGGAUAUUAUAAAAUCCCACUUUCCUCUCCACCUCUAGGCAAGGCAGUUAAGGCAUAAAUAAUAUUUUAGACAGUCAUAUGUUUUGGUAAGGGGGCAGUGGACCACAUUAGCCUGCUAAAUCCCUAAUGACUCUCCAGGGCAGCUUCUUAUCAAGAUGAAAUGGAAUUUGAUGCUCCAUGCACGCAAAGGCUCAGGUAAUUUGAAUCUGGUGUUUAAUCCAAUAUGAACAUCCUUUGUAUAAAAUCUCUGCCAUCACCACUUUAGGAAAAUUAAUAUUUAUAUCAAACAUCUUCUGUAAUGAGAUAUGAACUUUUGCCCACCAAAAUUCUAGCUCAGAUUUUAGAUUUGUGUGCUCCCAUAGUCAGGUUUCUGAAUAAUUUAUUUAUCCAAUUGAAGAAAUAAAGUAGACGAACAAUUUCAAAGGAGACAUUGAAUCAAAGCAGUUGGCUAAUUAUUCUCAUUUCAAGGUAUCCUGGAUUAGGGAAAAAAAAAAAGACUCUGAAAUCAAGCAUGCCUCAUAGGUCAUUUUGAGUAUUAGUUAUGUUUACAAAGCUCCUUAUAGGAUAAAUCAUGGAAAGUACGGGACAUAAUAUGAUUAUAUUUGGGGACCAAGUAUUUAUAUUUGAGAAGAAAAUGUAGCAGUUCACUAGGAUAAUUAACUCUUUUAGAACAGUCUCUAUCUUCUUUAUGUUCUUCUCUUUUCUGUCAUACUGUCCCCCCUUUCUCUAGCUAACUAGCUCUUACCCUUUAAGAUUAGGUGUGACCUCCUCCAGGAAGCCUUCCUGACCUCCAGUCAGGCUAUUUCAAAAUAAUUAGUAUAUGUGCAUCUCUGCCUCACUGAACUAUAGCCCCCUCAGGGACUGAGCAAAGUGUUCUUUCCAACAUUAUUUACCAGGCACAGUGAUUGUCACAUAUUAGGUGUUCCAUAAGCAUCGACUUAAUGAAAAUAAAUCCUGGGACAUUAGGCCUCACUGUUGCAUUGUGUUUGAGGAGGUACGUGUUGUCACAGAACUGUUGGAACAACAGCUACAAUCAUAGCCCUUGCAGUUACUAGUUCUUCCAUGCUGAAGGAUGACAGGCACAAUGGAGUCCUCACCUGCCUUUCUUGGCAAAGUUCCUGAAUGUGGUUGCUGAGAGGAUUUUAGUCUUUUCUCUGCAGUGAGAAUGUGGGCUGAAUUCACAUUUUUAAAGCACUCUUAUAGCCCGCAAAGUGUCUAUUUCAGUAUAAGUGCAUUGUAAUAAUACCUUACUUGAACGCAUAUUCUAAUACAGUUACUUAUCAUUCUACCCGUCUGUCUCCUCCAUCGUCUUGACUCAUUUUUGAAUCACCACUGUUUAGCACAGUGCCUGGCACUUAGGAGGCACACUGCCAACAGGCUAUGAAUGAAUGAGUGAAUGAAUGGACUACCUAGUGCCUUCCCUUCAGCUCUCACCUGACUUAUACAGCAGCACUGUGAGGCUGAUAGGACAAGAGUGAUACCAUUUCAUAGAUGCAGAAUCUGGCCAUCAGAAAGAUUCGAAAACUUGCUCCUGAUCUCACAGCUGAUAAAGGUGGGACCAAGACUCACACGGAGGACCUCCAGUGCUUGAGCUAUGUCCCUAACUCACAGCUUCCUCUACAAUUUAUAAUAGACUGGUAUGUACUGAUAAUUGAAAGGAUGAGGGGGCCUACUAAGAUACUUUUCUGAGGACAGAAAGAGUAAUCAUUGUAACAGUAAUAGCUAUUUAUUGAGUCCUUAAGAUGAGUACUCAAUAAAUGCCAAACACUUCAUAUAAGUCAUCCUAACAAACUAAUAUACUGCUAAGCAGCUAUUAUCGUUACUUGCAUUUUAUACAUGAAGAAACCAAGACACAGAAUAUUUAUGAAACCUGUGCAUCAUCACAGAGCUAGUGCAUCGUACAGACAUGGUUUGAACCUGGGUGGUUUGGUUCAAAGCUCCUAUACUUUCCCAUUCUGCUAUACUUCCUCCCCUAAAAGACCAGUUUUCUUUUAAAUUGUCAUUGUUUUCUAGCAGGUCUUGCUCUGUGAGCAGUUUUGACCUUGGACAAAUUACCUGUCUUACCUGGGCGUCUGCUUCCUGAUUUGUAAAAUGAAGAAAUUAGUAUCUACCUUUUGGAAUUGCUGUGAGAAUUAAAUGCAAGAGAAUCUGCUUGCCCUGCUUCUUUUUGUUACAAACAGGCUGGUGAAAUUAUCUAACCAGAAAGGAAACAAAACCAGGUAAAGCAAUCUUUUUUAAAAUUGUGCCAGCGAUUACAAUGUUGUUCAUUAUUUUCUAACUGUUUUCAAUAAUAUACCAUCCUGCUCAAAAGCUUUGUCUACCGCUUUGCAAUUUCAGAUGUCAUCUGACCUCUUUGCAGAAUAUACGUCUAUAAAGUGUCCUUUUCUCAGUGGAAUACACAAAAUGGAUAAACUAAAAAAAUGUUGGAAAGCAGCAAGGAAGAACUAGAGAGGCGUUGGGACUGUCAGGAUUGGAAGUCAGCAUUCUUGUUUGGGCCUGACUCCUCUUGCUCCACCCUGGCUCUGUGACCUUGAAUAGAGCAUAUAUGGGGGCCAAGUCUCCAUUUCUUCUCCAGCAAAAGACAGCAGUUGUAACUUUGUAAAAAUCGACUCACAAAAUCUUUUGCACUGUAUAAAUGUGAGUUCUUAUUGUGUUGAAUUCCCAAGAAUAUUUAGCAUCUUUUGAAAAAUAUUUGUAUUGCAUUUAGAACCAGGAAUUUUUAAAGACAUGAAGUCAAUGCCAGGGUAACCUUAUGAAUGACAACAAUUGGAGGUCUUAUGGAGGUCUGCCUGAUAUUUAUUGAGUACUUACUAUAUAAUGAAAUAUACUAUAUGUUUUGUAUGUAUUAUCAUAUUUCCUAAUGUUCAUGAGUACUUUAAAACGAGACAAUGCCAGCAAUCUUGAAUAACACAUACACGUUACAAUUAUUUUUUUGUUUGUUUGUUUUUGAGAUGGAGUCUUGCUCUGUCACCCAGGCUGGAGUGCAGUGGCACAAUCUCGGCUCACUGCAAACUCCACCUCCUGGGUUCAAGCCAUUCUCCUGCCUCAGCCUCCCCAGUAGCUGGGAUUACAGGCAUGCAUCACCACACCCAGCUAAUUUUCGUAUUUUUAGUAGAGGCGAGGUUUCACCAUGUUGGCCAGGCUGGUCUCGAACUCCUAACCUCAUGAUCCACCCACCUCGGCCUCCCAAAGUGCUGGGAUUACAGGCAUGAGUCACCACGCCCAGCCUUAAGAUGGAUUUUUAAAAAGAUACAAAACCCAUGUUAAUGUGGUAAGUCAAAGCAACACAUAACUGGAGAAAAAUGCCCAGUUUUCCUCAGUAAGUAUGUAUUGAGUCAUCCAGUCUGUCAUUACUGGAUGACUGCAAAGAGGAAUAAAGCAAGUCCAUGCCCUCAAGAAGCUCACCAUCUGCCCAGAAUGUAAUGAGAGCUGAAUGAGGCCCUUCAAGUGCUUGGAGAGCUCAGCAAAAAUAACUGGUCUUGGAGUCUAGGGAAUCAUUAAUUUUAAUGGCAAAAACUGUAAUUACUUUUGCAACAACCUAAUAGUUCAAGAAGAUUUGGCAUUUCACUUGAAACUUCAAGGUUUAAUAGAAUUUGCCCUUGAAGUUUUUGGCAACAGGCUUCUUUCACUUUUGUUAAAUCCAGUAGAAACCCCACAUAGGUCAAUAGGUGAUGAAUACCAAAUCCACUGGGGCCCAAACAGGGCACUCCUCCAUAAGACAGACCUCCAUAAGACAAUUGCUUUCACCAUCCACUUGUAAAGAUUUUACUCCCAUCUCACAUUUAUGGGAAGUUCUUUUUUUUUUUUUUUAUACUUUAAGUUUUAGGGUACAUGUGCACAUUGUGCAGGUUAGUUACAUAUGUAUAUAUGUGCCAUGCUGGUGCGCUGCACCCACUAACUCGUCAUCUAGCAUUAGGUAUAUCUCCCAAUGCUAUCCCUCCCCCCACCCCCCAC